ACCUCCACAUCCCAACUUCUCCAAGGUGCCUCUGGAAUCCCUGGGGUGACAAUGAAAUCUCCCUAUCCCAACUUCUCCAAGGUCAGAUGGUGCCUCUGGAAUCUCUGGGGUGACAGUGACACCUCCCUAUCCCAAUUUCUCCAAGGUCAGAUGGUGCCUCUGGAGUGACAGCAAUGCCUCCCUAUCCCACCUUCUCCCAGGUCAGCUGCUGUCUCUGGAAUCUCCAGAGUGACAGAAAUGCCUCCAUAUCCCAACUUCUCCUAGGUCAGAUGAUGAUACCUCUGAAGUGACAGCAACACCUCUAUAUCCCAACUUCUUCUCCAAGGUGCCUCUGGAAUCUCUGGAGUGACAGCAAUGCCUCCCUAUCCCCACUCCUCCAAGGUCAGCUGCUGUCUCUGGAAUCUCAGGAGUGACAGUGACACCUCCCUCUCCCAACUUCUCCAAGGUGCCUCUGGAAUCCCUGGGGUGACAAUGAAAUCUCCCUAUCCCAACUUCUCCAAGGUGAACUGCUGCCUCUGGAGUGAC